rnacentral:rRNA from 1 species
UUAAAUUGAAGAGUUUGAUCAUGGCUCAGAUUGAACGCUGGCGGCAGGCCUAACACAUGCAAGUCGAACGGUAACAGGAAGAAGCUUGCUUCUUUGCUGACGAGUGGCGGACGGGUGAGUAAUGUCUGGGAAACUGCCUGAUGGAGAGGGAUAACUACUGGAAACGGUAGCUAAUACCGCAUAACGUCGCAAGACCAAAGAGGGGGACCUUUGGGCCUCUUGCCAUCGGAUGUGCCCAGAUGGGAUUAGCUAGUAGGUGGGGUAACGGCUCACCUAGGCGACGAUCCCUAGCUGGUCUGAGAGGAUGACCAGCCACACUGGAACUGAGACACGGUCCAGACUCCUACGGGAGGCAGCAGUGGGGAAUAUUGCACAAUGGGCGCAAGCCUGAUGCAGCCAUGCCGCGUGUAUGAAGAAGGCCUUCGGGUUGUAAAGUACUUUCAGCGGGGAGGAAGGGAGUAAAGUUAAUACCUUUGCUCAUUGACGUUACCCGCAGAAGAAGCACCGGCUAACUCCGUGCCAGCAGCCGCGGUAAUACGGAGGGUGCAAGCGUUAAUCGGAAUUACUGGGCGUAAAGCGCACGCAGGCGGUUUGUUAAGUCAGAUGUGAAAUCCCCGGGCUCAACCUGGGAACUGCAUCUGAUACUGGCAAGCUUGAGUCUCGUAGAGGGGGGUAGAAUUCCAGGUGUAGCGGUGAAAUGCGUAGAGAUCUGGAGGAAUACCGGUGGCGAAGGCGGCCCCCUGGACGAAGACUGACGCUCAGGUGCGAAAGCGUGGGGAGCAAACAGGAUUAGAUACCCUGGUAGUCCACGCCGUAAACGAUGUCGACUUGGAGGUUGUGCCCUUGAGGCGUGGCUUCCGGAGCUAACGCGUUAAGUCGACCGCCUGGGGAGUACGGCCGCAAGGUUAAAACUCAAAUGAAUUGACGGGGGCCCGCACAAGCGGUGGAGCAUGUGGUUUAAUUCGAUGCAACGCGAAGAACCUUACCUGGUCUUGACAUCCACGGAAGUUUUCAGAGAUGAGAAUGUGCCUUCGGGAACCGUGAGACAGGUGCUGCAUGGCUGUCGUCAGCUCGUGUUGUGAAAUGUUGGGUUAAGUCCCGCAACGAGCGCAACCCUUAUCCUUUGUUGCCAGCGGUCCGGCCGGGAACUCAAAGGAGACUGCCAGUGAUAAACUGGAGGAAGGUGGGGAUGACGUCAAGUCAUCAUGGCCCUUACGACCAGGGCUACACACGUGCUACAAUGGCGCAUACAAAGAGAAGCGACCUCGCGAGAGCAAGCGGACCUCAUAAAGUGCGUCGUAGUCCGGAUUGGAGUCUGCAACUCGACUCCAUGAAGUCGGAAUCGCUAGUAAUCGUGGAUCAGAAUGCCACGGUGAAUACGUUCCCGGGCCUUGUACACACCGCCCGUCACACCAUGGGAGUGGGUUGCAAAAGAAGUAGGUAGCUUAACCUUCGGGAGGGCGCUUACCACUUUGUGAUUCAUGACUGGGGUGAAGUCGUAACAAGGUAACCGUAGGGGAACCUGCGGUUGGAUCACCUCCUUACCUUAAAGAA